ACUGGCCUAGCUACCCAGCCUACAUCUUUCUCCUGUGCCGGAUCUUCCUGCCCUCAAAUAUCAGACUCCAGGUUCUUCAGUUUUGGAACUCAGACUGGCUCUCCUUGCUCCUCAGCCUGCAGAUGGACUAUUUUGGGAUCUUGUGAUCAUGAUUCUCACCAUCCAGAAGUCAUACCAGGUAACGAGGAUGAACAUCAGCUCCUUUCUCAUUUCCUAACCAAUGCUGAACUGCAAAUCUCACCCUCCCUCUGAAUAUCCUUUAGAAACAAUGUGAAAAAUAAAUAUCAUCCUGGAACAGUCAUGUUCAAAGGCCAAGGACUGGUUUUGGUGUGAAACUUUGCCCUGAUCCUGAAGACUCAAGAGAAGCACGAAUCUUUAGUGAUAUUAGGGAUCUGGGAAGUCAUCUAGAUCAGUCCCUUCCUUUUAUUGGAAAGAAAACCAAGGCCCGGGCAUUAAAUGUGUCAUUCAAAGUCACAGAGGCUCUUCAGAGAAGAAGCAAGAAUGGCAAUCUCAGAUCAAUGGAUGUGAACACUUUGGGUCACAUCUGAAGAGCAAAUUCUCUUGCUAACCUUUCUCCCUAGUCUGUCACCCUUUUUUCUAGCUUACACUCCUACCGUGUGCCAAGAUAAAUUUAAAUACAUUAAUAUUUAAUUUACACAACCAUUUUACAAGGUAGAGACAGUGGGAGAACAGCCUUGAAGAACAAAAAAAAGAGGUAAAUUUGUAUUUUGCUUCUAUAUUACAAAUAAGGAAAGUGAUUAAUGGAAAGGAUAAGCAACUUAUGCAUGUUUUCACUGCUAUUGAGCAGCAGAAAUGAGAUGAUAAUGGACAUGGUAUUUCAAGUCCUCAGAAUACCAGGGGAAUGAGUAUUGAUAGCGAACAAAAGAGGAUCAAGACUCAACCCCAGACACACCAGUAUGAAGGAUUGGAGAGAAGAGAAUAAAUUAGCAGAAGUACCUAAUAAGGAGGAAUUGUUGAGUUAUAAGUGACCUCAAAUAUAUAUAGGGUCCUGGAAAAUAAAGAGCUAGAGAGUAUUUUGAUAAGGAGGGGGUGAUAAACUGUUUGGAAAUCUGAUGUUAGAUCAGGGAAGAUGAAGAAAGAACACUGACCUUUGCAUUUAGCAACAUGAAGGGCACUCCUGAUGUUUACAUAGCAGUUUCAUGGAGAGGUUAAAGUUGGAUGAGGGUGGAUUAAGUAGAGAAAGGAAAAAUGAUUGAAGACAACAAGUAUAGCAGCUCCAGAGGAAUUUAACUGAAAAGGAGAGUAAGGAGAUGAAGUUGUAGUUCUUAGGGUUUUGUUUUUAAUAACUGGAGGAUGUUUUAUGAUGAAGGGCAUCAUCCAAGAACUGAACCUUGGAUAAAUGGUUACAUUUUAUAAGUGAUGGAAGAACUAAAGCCAGAUAAUAAGAAAAUGAACAAUUAGAAGAGAUUUAUAGAAGUUAAGAAUGAGAAUGACAAAACAAUCCUGUUCUCUCCAUACAUUAUAUUUUUAUAUGGGUUUUGGAAUAAAUAGGUUACAAUUUGAAUAAAACUGAUUUAUGAAGACUGUUGAGCAAAGUCAUGUUUCUGUAGGGGUGGUCUGUUUGAGGAUACUGAAUGCCAGGGACUGAGAGAAAUCACUUGAGAAUUGCCAGCUGUCCAGUCAAAGAUAUCCCAACAGGGUGGCACUAUUUUGGUGAUUUCAUUACAGCCUAACAGUCAGAAUUGGACUUGUGCUAAUGAAGCUCACAGAGAACACAAAUUUAAUUAUUUAAAUUAGGCACAUUCUCCAGUGACUAAUGCUCAGAACAUUAUCAUAUUUUAACUUUCAGUCCCAUUCUUUCAUUUAUUUUUAGUCUAUCUCCCUUCUCUUCAUAUAUUCUUCAAGCUCUAUGAACACAGUUAAAUGUAAUUAUUUUAAUAUGUGUUUCCUUAGUUACAGUCAAGUCCAGUCAUGCCUCCCUAAAAGCAUUCUUAAGUCACCUUGAUCAAAUUACAGGUGCAUGAAGAAUGUCUCUUAAAUCAAAUGAUUUAAGUAAAUGUGCCAAUGAUUACACUUAUUCUAAAUGUUGAAGCUCCCUAAUUAAUUGAUCACAGGGUAUCUUUUACUCAGUACAGGAAGAAUGUUGUACAUGCUUCUGUAAUGCUUAUGAAUAGUGAUUAGGUUCUCCUUUAUGGUCAUGUUGGAUGUCAGUCAUCCAGAGGAUAGACAGGACCUUCAGAAAAGCCAGAAAAUAACAAUAUUUCUCUAGGUUCCCUUUUUACAUGUCAAGGAAAGAUAUUUAGGCAUGUAUUCAUGGGAAAAAAGUACUAAAUAACACCAGUUAGAUGACAGUCUUCUGAGAAAGAGCAUUGUCUAUCAAUUUGGUAUUGCAUUUUGUUACUAGCAACAGACAUGAAAAAAAAAAAACUCAGUGAAAUAAACUAAAAUGUGAAAAAGUAAAUAAUGUAGGGUAGGUGUGAUGACUCCAUAAUGCCACAACACUCAGGCUAUCUCUUCUCUGCUCAACAUACUUUGCAAGUGACUUUCAUCCUCAAGACCAUCUCAUUGCCAUUGGUAAUCACUGUAGCUCCAGCUGUCAUGUCUUCAUGAGAGGCAGAAGGACUAUAAAAUACUGUCAGGUAACUUCAGCCCAUAAUAAAAAGUUUUCCAAAAGCAUUCUCUAAAACUUCCACCUACAUCUUAUUGGUCAUGACUUGGUUUGCUAAAAUCAUUGGUAAUAUAAAGUUUUGUAGCUGGACACAAUGCCACUCCCCAAAAAUCAGGGUUUUGCUACAAUUGAAAAAGAAAAGAAUGGAUUUGGGGUGGGCAAUAAACUUUCACCAAGGUUAAACUGGGUUAUGGGCUCUCUUGGGGAUUAUUUUUUUAGAUAUCUGAUGAUCUAACUCUUUACUGAGGCCUUAAUUUCAUUUCAGUUUGUUACAUCUAAGGUUUUAAUUUUAUUUAAAUGUUUCUGAUUGAUUUCUGAUAUUGCUAUAUUCCACCAGAUUUUUAAGAGUGGUGCUCCAAGGAUAGGUGAUUUGCAAACUCACUGUUUACAUUUACAGUCGAUUUUCUCUUUAUUGUUUUGAAAAAUAUUUUUCAGACCUAUUUUGUUAAUAGCUACCCCCUAAACUUAUAUAGUGCUUUUGGCAAAAUAAAUCAUUUAUUUCAUACAUAGUCUUCCAUACAGUAAUUUUUAUCUCAUUAUGUUAAAUACUAUUGCCACAACAAGUUUGCUGAAUUUUUGUGUAAUUUAUCUUUCCAAAGCUUAAAUGAUUUAUAGUACUUCAACAACU
rnacentral:lncRNA from 10 species